AGGCCGGCACGAUACUCCCUAUAACUAUUCCUUUUGAUUCAGUAGAUUUCAAAUAUCGUGCCGGCUUUCUUCGUUGUAUUACAUUAGUCAGGUGUGAU
rnacentral:sRNA from 1 species